AUGGACACGGGACAGGGAACAUGGUCUUGGUCCAAAGCUAUCAGCUCUUGCCUGUCCCCUUCACUCUUUGUAGCUCAUUCCUUGGACUCUGCUCUAUCUUUAGAGGUCGCUGGCUCAAUGGAGACUCCCAAGCCCUACAUCUCCAGCAGCAACUUAAACCCCAGGGAGGGUAAGGAGGCUGUGAUCUUAUCCUGUGAUCCUGACACUCAGGACGUAAGCUACCUGUGGCGGAUAAAUGGUCAGAGCCUCCCUAUCAGUCACAAGUUGCAGCUGUCCAAAAACAACAGGACCCUCGUUCUAUUUGGUGUCACAAAGGAUACUGCAGGACCCUAUGAAUGUGAGAUGAAGAACCCACGGAGUUCCAGCCACAGUGAUCCAGUCACCUUGAAUCUCCUACAUGGCCUGGACGCCCCCACCAUUUCUUCUUCAUACACCUAUUACCAUCCAGGGGAACUCCCCAAGCUCUCCUGCCUCACAGACUCUCACCCACUGACAGAGCAUUCUUGGCUGAUUGAUGGGAAGUUCCAGCAAUCAGCACAAGUGUUCUUUAUCCUCCAAACCACUAAAACAUAGAGAGGGGUCUAUGUCUGUUUCAUGCAUAACUCAGUCACUGGUGGAACAAAUCUCAUAAUCAAGAGGAUCAUAGUCCCUAGUAAGUGGAUCCCUGGAGCACUGGCAAUAUGUUUUUCAGUGGAGUCUAUCUGGCUUUCAGAGAAGAGUCAGGAAAACAUUUUUAUUCCCAGCCUGUGUCCCAUGGGCAGAAGCAAAUCCUAAAUUCUCCUCCUGAACCCUCCCAAUUUGUCUCUACAGACUCUCUUCUCCUAGUUUUUCUGUUUUCUCAUGGUUGACCUUGUGUCCAGCCUGAGAAAGGUAGGGAGGGGGCUUUGUCAGCCCUGAGCCCUAUGUGGUGGAAGAGGCUUCACAGAGGGACAAGAAGGAGAGUCCUCAAGAUCAAGUUGCUUCUUGCUGUCACCAACACAACCCUUUCCACUACAUCUUUGUUUUCUUUUACCUACUCCAUGAGCUACAAGGAACAUCUGAGGCUUUGAAACAAGCUCACAUUUUUCCCCCAAAUGAGAGGAGGAAGCCCCUUGGAUGAGGGAGGAGCAGCUCAGACUGCUCCUUACUCUGCUCCGGGCUUCUCUGGUGACUGGCCCUGCCUGACUCCACCUGGGGUGGGACCAGCAUGUGUGGAGAAAGAGCCCUGCUGACCUGUCCUGAAUUCAGCUAAAUCGAGCUGCCAGUUGAAGUGAAGCCUAGGCUGCAGGGAAAUAAGAAGAGAGGGAGCUUUGGGGCAGACUCUUGAGCUGUGUCCUGUCUCUGAAGUCACCGGCUGUAUGAGGCUGUGGGCACUGCAUGUGGGACACAGCACAGAGGACAGUGAGUGAUGCACACUUGAAUAAAUAGGGAGAUUCACCUCUGGGGCUCUGCAUGGCAGGAAAGGGGCAAUGGAAAACGUGUGUAUUUGUAGAGUGUAAGACUUCCAGUACACUUUAUAUAUAUCUAAUAUAAGAUUUA